UACGUAGGUGGCAAGCGUUGUCCGGAUUUACUGGGUGUAAAGGGCGUGUAGGCGGAGAUGCAAGUUGGGAGUGAAAUCCCGGGGCUCAACCCCGGAACUGCUUUCAAAACUGUAUCCCUUGAGUGUCGGAGAGGCAAGCGGAAUUCCUAGUGUAGCGGUGAAAUGCGUAGAUAUUAGGAGGAACACCAGUGGCGAAGGCGGCUUGCUGGACGAUAACUGACGCUGAGGCGCGAAAGCGUGGGGAGCAAACAGG
rnacentral:rRNA from 1 species